rnacentral:rRNA from 1 species
UACGUAGGGUGCAAGCGUUGUCCGGAAUUAUUGGGCGUAAAGGGCUCGUAGGCGGUCCAUCGCGUCGGGAGUGAAAAGCUGGGGCUUAACCCCAGUCCUGCUUCCGAUACGGGUGGACUAGAGGUAGGUAGGGGAGAACGGAAUUCCCGGUGUAGCGGUGAAAUGCGCAGAUAUCGGGAAGAACACCCGUGGCGAAGGCGGCUCUCUGGGACGGUACUGACGCUGAGACGCGAAAGCGUGGGGAGCGAACAGG